CUCUCCCUUAGAUAAUAACUACCUCAAAGAAGUUGUGGAGAUGCUUGUAAAGAGAAAUCUGUGUAUCUUUUUUUUUAAUAAGCAUUAAUUCCCUUCCCUGCCUCCAAAUUCCUUCAAUCCUUCUUUUCAGCCUAGAGUCAAGAAAGUGUGAGAUCAAGGGGGUCCAAGAAUUGUAUAAGUCAAUAUGGCAGUAAUUUAUGUUCCUGUAUGAAUUAACUUUUAGGAGUAAAUAAUUCUACUGCAUAAUGCAUAUAUUCAUUUUGUAUAAAGCCAUAGAUUGUUUUUGCAGAGAAUAGUAGUGGGAAGAGGCAUUUUGAAAACUUUCUAUGCCUUUGAAGAUGAAGAAUUUACCAUGACAUGUUAAAUUGUCUUCCUGACCUUCUUGGAUUUCUACUUUACUCAACUGUGACUGAUUUUACAGCUGUGUUCUGAAUUCCAAACUACAGGAGUCAAAAAUCAGACACACAAGGUGUUGUCUUUGAAAAUGGAGGAAGCCAGGAACCAAGGAAGAGAGGGCAGCCCCUAGAAGCAAACCAAGAAGACUCCAAGAUGUACUUUAGGAUGCAAUUCUGGCCCAUUUUAUUAUAUUCACUUCAAGGCCAUGUGAUACCAAGAUUAAAGGUCCCAGAGACAAACAAGUGAACAAGAUUAAUCAACUGCUUUUUGUGAAAAAAGAAGUCAGUCAUACAGACAUUAUU